CUCAGUUGGACGGGAGCUCGCAGGGCCUGGUGAAAGGAAACGGAGCCCGGUCCCGGAUCCGUCCGCCUCGAGCACCGCGCCUGCGCCGCCGGGGCUCGCCCCGCUCCUCGGCGAGGCGUGGGCAAGGACGGUACAUCCAAAUCCAUCUCGGAGCGUCUGAAUGUGCCCGUCGCUGUGGUAUGUAGGCACCUUAUACACACGUUUUAAACCACAUUGGGUCCAUCUGAAAGGACUGUAUUCUUCGUGGGUGAUGCUGCUUCUUGAAGUGUGGUGUUCUCCUUUUGUCUCCACGUGGGAGAUCAGCUAUUCUACAGCCCUUGUCAGCGACAGGCGUCUUGCCCAGAGGGCGUGUCCUAAUGGUGGCUCACACUGAUCUUUGGUGGUUGGGAAUGCCACAGUCCAACUCCAAGGCCUUCAUUCUGGACUCCUUCAACUGCAGCACCUCUGCUGACCACAGCUGUCACACGGGAGCAGCAAGAGACAGGCUCCCCAUAACUUUUUUAGGGCUUUGAAGAAUAAUACUACGUCCUAGAGGCCAAUACCGGGAACUGGCAAGGGAGCCAAUACGGAGUUCGGAGCGCUGGUGUGAUGUGCUUUCCUCAAUCUAGUGUGGUCCUGCAAAGCCGACCACGGUUGCUUCUGCCCAGCCUGGAUGGUGACAAAGACAUGGAUCAGAGUGGCUAGGUCUGAGACUGGGAGGAAGAAAUGCAGCCUUUUAGCUAACCGAAGGUGGAAACAGGCAUUUCUGGCUACACCUGCUAUUUGAGCGUCAAGGAUUCUUUAUUAUUAUUAUAAUUUUAUUAUUAUUUAUUAUUACUGUAGCCGCCGGAAUGGGAGCCGCAUUGUGCUAAGCUCUCUCCAAAAAUAGCAAAACAGAGUCCCAGCUCCAAAGAGCUUAAUAAACAGACCAGGGAGGGAAGGGGAGGAUACUAGUAAUCUAUGAGUACCUUAGCUAUCAGUGUUUGUACCACAAUGGGGCCAAUGUUCUUGACUGGGGAUUCUAAGUGCUACUGUAAAUACAAAUAAAUAAUAAUAGGAUAUUAUUGUGCACCACCUUGGCAAUCAGGUCAGUCAGAGAGUAAAUACCUACCUCCACAUCAGAUGUCAUAGCUGCUUCUAUUUCCUCAAAGAACUUCUCCCUUCCUACCAGUAUCAUUUCUGUUUUCCCUGCACUGAGCCUGAGCCAGCUCCACUUCUCACCCACAAACUUCCCUCACUCAGGCACUGUGAUGUCUGAGAAACAUCACUGUCUGCAGCUGAUGCACAUGCUACAGGGAUGGAUGUCAUCCGUGUAUGGUUGGCAGAGGAGCCUAUUGGCAUUUCCAUAGCACCUUUCACCUUCAAAGCACUGUACUAGCAUGGACUCAUGCAUGAUCCCUGGGGUUGCCACAUCAUGUCGUGAUAAAGUGUCUCAAUGCAUUGCACCAGCCCACAAUACAUUUCAGGGCACUUUAAAAGGUUUCUAAGCCCAACUUCAAGGUCAUGGGACGGCCACCUCAAAAUCAGGAGAAUCCCCUCAACAUCAGGACAGUCCAACAGACAACCUUGGCUCUCAACCCCAGAGACCCUCCAUAAGAAGCCACAAAAUCCAAAGAGAUACAUACACAUUUAAUCCAAUUUCCCAGAGAGUCAGUUGAUUCUGAAAAGAGCAAAGCCUGAAGCUGUCCCAUCUUGUGCUGCAUGUUCUCAUGAGCAACAUCGGAUCAGGCCAGCUCAGCAUUUGGGAUGUGAAACUCCCAAUAAAAAGCCAAGGUGCUGCACACAGCGGUGCUGGCAAUUCAGUCAUGGGGAACCCAUCCCUUUGAUUCAGUACUGAACCAAAGCCCCAGCCUGGUGCUAACGGGCAUUGUGCUAUGAGAGGCUUCAUGUUCUGAUGAGAUGUAAAGCUGCGCUUUGGACCCCAUGUAAUCAGUAAGGUCCCACACAGCCCUUUCGAAAAUUAGACCUGUUAUCCCGUUUGUCCUGGCCAAGCUGCGCCUCAGAUAAGUACAUUGUGACACCCUAAAUCAUCUACAGAUUCAAUGCAGGAAAGUAAAGGGAUCUGUCGCUUCUUGUCCUAAAUUGCAACAUACUGUUGCUGUGUGCUAUGGAACAUGAAAUAACAUGUGCAUUGUUUGCAGAUUGGUUUUUAAAUUGCUUUGGACACAUGCUGGGUUAAAGGCAUUGUAUAUGUAUCAAAUGAUUAUUAUGUACAGAAUUGUUGUGCUGAUGUGAUCAGAAAUAAACAUGGUGUGGCUGCAACCUGG